UCUUUCUAGAAGAUAGAGUUUGAUCCUGGCUCAGAACGAACGCUGGCGGCAUGGAUAAGGCAUGCAAGUCGAAUGUAUUUAUUUACAUGGCAAACGGGGUAGUAACACGUAGGAACGUACCCAGAAGUCAGGAAUAACCCGGAGAAAUCCGGAAUAAUACCUGAUAGUCCCGCAAGGGUAAAGAUUUAUCGCUUCUGGAGCGGCCUGCGUAGUAUCAGCUUGUUGGUAAGGUAAUGGCUUACCAAGGCUAAGACGCUUAGGGGAGGUGAGAGCCUGACCCCCACCAUUGGAACUUAGACACGGUCCAAACUCCUACGGGAGGCUGCAGUCGAGAAUCUUCCGCAAUGUACGAAAGUAUGACGGAGCGAUGCCGCGUGAUGGAUGAAGCACUUCGGUGCGUAAACAUCUUUUAUAGAGGAGGAAGUUUAUUGACGUUACUCUAUGAAUAAGAGGCUCCUAAUCAUGUGCCAGCAGGAGCGGUAAUACAUGAGCCUCGAGCGUUACCCGGAUUCACUGGGCGUAAAGGGUGUGUAGGCGGCAUAGUUAGUCGCGCGUUAAAGCCCAGGGCUCAACCCUGGAAUCGCGUGCGAAACGGCUAAGCUAGAGGGUGGCAGAGGUGUGUAGAACUCAUGGUGUAGGGGUGAAAUCCGUUGAUAUCAUGGGGAAUACCAAAUGCGAAGGCAGCACACUGGGCCAUUUCUGACGCUGAGACACGAAAGCGUGGGUAGCGAAUGGGAUUAGAUACCCCAGUAGUCCACGCCGUAAACGUUCCCCGCUGGUUUUUGGAAGUAUCGACCCUUUCAGAGACGAAGCUAACGCGUUAAGCGGGGCGCCUGGGUAGUACGAACGCAAGUUUAAAACUCAAAGGAAUAGACGGGGGCUCGCACAAGCGGUGGAGCGUGUGGCUUAAUUCGUCGAUAAGCGAAGAACCUUACCGGGGUUUGAAACCAAACUGCAAAGCCUAGGAAACUAGGCCGUCCUUAGAGGGUGUUUGGCAGGUGAUGCAUGGCUGUCGUCAGUUCGUGGUUUGAAUUGUUCCCUUAAGUGGGGUAACGAACGCAACCCUCGUUGCCUGUUAUAUGUGUCAGGCGAGACUGCUCCCUUACGGGAGAGGAAGGUGAGGAUGACGCCAAGUCAGCAUGUCCCUUUGAUAUCCCGGGCUGCACACGCGCUACAAUGGUUACUACAGCGGGGCGCGAUCUCGUAAGAGUCAGCAAAUCCUAUAAAAGUAACCUCAGUUCGGAUUGUGGUCUGCAACUCGACCACAUGAAGUUGGAAUCGCUAGUAAUCGUGGAUCAGCUACGCCACGGUGAAUACGUUCUCGAGCCUUGUACUCACCGCCCGUCAAGUCAGGGAAGCUGGGAGUACCCGACGUUCGUCUUUAUGGCGACCUAAGGUAAAUUCAGUGACAAGGACUAAGUCGUAACAAGGUAGCC
rnacentral:rRNA from 1 species